rnacentral:rRNA from 1 species
AUGCGUGUCUGUCAAGCCGGCCGCUGGCCCGGCCAGGAACAGAUCCGCCAGGGUCGGGGUAGCCGACAAUGCUGCUUCUUCUUCUGCUUCAUCUUGGAACAAACCUUGGAGCCGACAAUGCUGCAGAUAUCGGCUGCUGCUGCUUCUUCUGCUUCAUCUUCUUCGGGCUCGGCCGCAGAUGGCUACGGCAGAGGUGUCGGCUAUGCCGUCAGUAGCAGCGGCAGGGUCAAUGGCGUUGCUGGUAUGGUUGGAGAUGCCGGGAGGGCGAGGAGAAGGGUCGGGCGGGAGGUGUUAGCCACGUGCAACGCCAUGGAGGGGGUCCGCCAUGGCGCGGUAGCCGUCGUCGUGCCCAGCGUGUCGGGGCUGCCCGAGCGGGCCAAGGUGGUGGUGCUCAUGGCAGCCGUCAUGCUGCUCUGCAACGCUAGCCGGGUCGUCAUGUCGGUCGCCGUCGUGCCGCUCGCCGCGCAGCACGGCUGGUCCAGCUCCUUCGUUGGCAUAGUCCAGUCAUCAUAUCUAUGGGGCUAUGUUUUAUCAUCCAUGGUUGGAGGAGCUUUGGCGGACAGAUACGGAGGGAAGAAGGUGAUGGCGGGUGCUGCUGCACUCUGGUCCUUGGCCACUUUCCUCACUCCAUGGGCUGCCUCUCAAUCCGCCAUUACGUUGCUUGCUAUACGUGUGCUCUUUGGCCUUGCACAAGGUGUCGCAUUUCCGACAAUGAGCACUCUCUUACCAAAGUGGUUCCCAACACAUGAACGUGCCACUGCUGUCGGCCUUUCCAUGGGAGGAUUCCAUCUUGGGAAUGUCGUAAGCUUCCUAGCAACACCGAUCAUCAUGUCACAUAUAGGCCUCGCCGGAACAUUUGCCUUCUUCGCAUCACUUGGUUACUUGUGGAUCUCUGUAUGGCUGUUGAAUGUAGAAAGUGACCCUAUCGACAGCCGCACUAUAAGAAAAUCUGAGCUGCAACUUAUUCUAGCUGGACGAAGUAAAUCAAAAGUCAAAGGCAGCAAAUCACCAUCCUUAAGACAAGUGUUCUCAAAGAUGGAAAUGUGGGCCAUCAUUAUAGCUAAUGUUAUAAAUAAGUGGGGCUAUUUUGUCCUACUAUCAUGGAUGCCGGUGUACUUCAAAAUGGUAUAUAAUGUGAAUUUGAAACAAGCUGCAUGGUUUAGCGCCAUACCUUGGGGCGUCAUGGCUCUAUCAGGAUAUGUUGCAGGAGCUUCUGCAGAUUUCAUGAUCAAAACCGGCUUAUCUAUUGGGCGAGUCCGGAAAAUUAUGCAGUCAAUCGAUUUUAUUGGGCCAGGUGUGUCAUUGCUAUGUUUAAGAUUUGCCCAAACACCAUCCGUUGCGGCAGUUAUCAUGACGGCCGCCUUGGGUAUGAAUUCCUGCAGUCAAGCUGGGGACUUCUGUAAUAUCCAGGACAUUGCCCCUAAAUACGCUGGAUCCCUACAUGGACUGACGAACGGCAUUGGGACGGUGGCUGCCAUAGUUAGCACGGUAGGAGCAGGAUACUUCAUCCAGUGGCUGGGAUCCUUCCAGGCCUUCCUCACCCUAACGGCGGUGCUCUAUUUCAGCGCCAUCGUCUUCUACAACAUCUAUGCGACAGGAGACUUGAUUUUUGACUGA